CUAACUGUAUCGGAUUACUGGGCGUAAGCGUGCGUAGGCGGUUUCGCAAGUCCGAUGUGAAAUCCCCGGGCUUAACCUGGGAACUGCGUUGGAAACUACGAGGCUCGAGUGCGGCAGAGGGGGGUGGAAUUCCAGGUGUAGCAGUGAAAUGCGUAGAGAUCUGGAGGAACACCGAUGGCGAAGGCAGCCCCCUGGGUUAGCACUGACGCUGAUACACGAAAGCGUGGGGAGCAAACAGGAUUAGAUACCCUGGUAGUCCACGCCCUAAACGAUGGCAACUAGUUGUUGGAGGAUGAACUCCUUUAGUAACGCAGCUAACGCGUGAAGUUGCCCGCCUGGGGAGUACGGUCGCAAGAUUAAAACUCAAAGGAAUCGACGGGGGCCCGCACAAGCGGUGGAUGAUGUGGUUCAAUUCGAUGCAACGCGAAAAACCUUACCUACCCUUGACAUGCCAGGAAGCCUGAUGAAAGUCGGGUGUGCCCGAAAGGGAACCUGGACACAGGUGCUGCAUGGCUGUCGUCAGCUCGUGUCGUGAGAUGUUGGGUUAAGUCCCGCAACGAGCGCAACCCUUGUCAUUAGUUGCUACAUUCAGUUGGGCACUCUAAUGAGACUGCCGGUGACAAACCGGAGGAAGGUGGGGACGACGUCAGGUCCUCAUGGCCCUUAUGGGUAGGGCUACACACGUCAUACAAUGGCGCAUACAGAGGGAAGCCAACCCGCGAGGGGGAGCAAAUCCCAGAAAGUGCGUCGUAGUCCGGAUUGAAGUCUGCAACUCGACUUCAUGAAGUCGGAAUCGCUAGUAAUCGCGGAUCAGCAUGUCGCGGUGAAUACGUUCCCGGGCCUUGUACACACCGCCCGUCACACCAUGGGAGUGGGUUUCACCAGAAGCAGGUAGCCUAACCGCAAGGGGGGCGCCUACCACGGUGAGAUUCAUGACUGGGGUGAAGUCGUAACAAGGUAAC
rnacentral:rRNA from 1 species